rnacentral:rRNA from 1 species
CGCCUCUUGACUUAUAAUAAGAGGUCCAGCCUGCCCAGUGAAUUUUAAACGGCCGCGGUAUCCUAACCGCGCGAAGGUAGCAUAAUCACUUGUUCUUUAAAUGGGGACUCGUAUCAACGGCAUCACGAGGGUUUUACUGUCUCCUCUUUUUGAUCAGUGAAAUUGAUCUUCCCGUGAAGAAGCGGGGAUAUUUUUAUAAGACGAGAAGACCCCAUGGAGCUUUAAACCAAAUAACAACUUAACUACUUAUCCCACAAUAAAUUUAAGCCCUGUUAUAAGGUUUUUGGUUGGGGUGACCGCGGAGUAAAGCACAUCCUCCACGACGGAAAGAACAUAAUCUUUAUUUAAGAACCACACUUCUAGAAAUUAGUAUACUAACGUUUACUGACCCGACAAUCGAUCAACGGACCAAGUUACCCUGGGGAUAACAGCGCAAUCUACUUCAAGAGCUCAUAUCGACAAGUAGGCUUACGACCUCGAUGUUGGAUCAGGGUAUCCCGGUGGUGCAGCCGCUACCGAAGGUUCGUUUGUUCAACGAUUAAAACCCU